GAUGAAGAACGUAGCGAAAUGCGAUAAGUAAUGUGAAUUGCAGAAUUCAGUGAAUCAUCGAAUCUUUGAACGCACAUUGCGCCCGCUAGUAUUCUGGCGGGCAUGCCUGUCCGAGCGUCAUUUCAACCCUCAAGCCCCCGGGCUUGGUGUUGGGGAUCGGCGAGCCUCCGCGCCCGCCGUCCCCUAAAUCUAGUGGCGGUCUCGCUGUAGCUUCCUCUGCGUAGUAGCACACCUCGCACUGGGAAACAGCGCGGCCACGCCGUUAAACCCCCAACUUCUGAACGUUUGACCUCGGAUCAGGUAGGAAUACCCGCUGAACUUAAGCAUAUCAAAAAGCGGAGGA
rnacentral:misc_RNA from 1 species